GAACGCACCGCUGGUGUUCGGGUUGUCAUGCCAAUGGCACUGCCCGGUAGCUAAGUGCGGAAGAGAUAAGUGCUGAAAGCAUCUAAGCACGAAACUUGCCCCGAGAUGAGUUUUCCCUGAGCACCUGAUGCUCCUGAAGGGACGUUGAAGACGACGACGUUGAUAGGCCGGGUGUGUAAGCGCAGCGAUGCGUUGAGCUAACCGGUACUAAUGACCCGUGAGGCUUAACCUU
rnacentral:ncRNA from 1 species